rnacentral:rRNA from 1 species
GUUAUAUGGUCAAGUGAAGAAGCGCAUACGGUGGAUGCCUUGGCAGUCAGAGGCGAUGAAAGACGUGGUAGCCUGCGAUAAGCUUUGGGGAGUCGGCAAACAGACUGUGAUCCAGAGAUCUCUGAAUGGGGGAACCCACUCAGCAUAAGCUGGGUAUCUUGUACUGAAUACAUAGGUGCAAGAGGCGAACC